AAUAGAUACCCAGGUAGUCCAUGCCGUAAACGAUGAGUGCUAAGUGUUAGGGGGUUUCCGCCCCUUAGUGCUGCAGCUAACGCAUUAAGCACUCCGCCUGGGGAGUACGACCGCAAGGUUGAAACUCAAAGGAAUUGACGGGGGCCCGCACAAGCGGUGGAGCAUGUGGUUUAAUUCGAAGCAACGCGAAGAACCUUACCAGGUCUUGACAUCCCAGUGACCACUCUAGAGAUAGAGUUUUCCCUUCGGGGACAUUGGUGACAGGUGGUGCAUGGUUGUCGUCAGCUCGUGUCGUGAGAUGUUGGGUUAAGUCCCGCAACGAGCGCAACCCUUAAUCUUAGUUGCCAUCAUUUAGUUGGGCACUCUAAGGUGACUGCCGGUGACAAACCGGAGGAAGGUGGGGAUGACGUCAAAUCAUCAUGCCCCUUAUGACCUGGGCUACACACGUGCUACAAUGGACGGUACAAAGAGUCGCUAACUCGCGAGAGCACGCUAAUCUCAUAAAACCCGUUCUCAGUUCGGAUUGUAGG
rnacentral:rRNA from 1 species